AGCAGGUGAAAAGCUGAGAGGUAAAAGCUAUCCCUGGGCAUUGCUGAAAAUUCCUCAGAAAAGAAGUCAAAUUUCGAUCUUGUAAGGACUUUUCUUGAAUGAGGAGUGAGGAAAAGAGGUGGGUAAAGAAAUAAGAAAGAAAGAAAGGACUGGCCCUGGAGAAGAAAAAGAGUUGUCACUGAGAAAAUAGAGGGUAGGAUUAGGCAUCCCUCUAACCUCUCAGCCCAGGCCCACCCCGGAAGAGUGAAAAGCCAGGACUUGAGGCUGUUUCAGGCCGAAGUCCCCAGAGAACGUGCGUAGGUGUGCAUUCCCUAGCAAUAGCUGGCAGCAACGUUUCUGUCUAGAAAAGGUCACUGAAACAGAUUGGGGUUAGCCUUAAUAUUGUUUCCCUACAGAGAUCAGAACACUUGCGUGGAGGCCAGAACGCCGCCCUGCGGGUCGCCAGGUUUUCACGUGGCCCGAACUGAUAAGUGCAGUAAUGGGGCGUCGGCUGUGAGCGGGGCAGUGAGCAGUUCCGAGAAGCGCGAGGGAGGGGGGCUGGGGGCGUGCGGGGCAGGAGGGUGUGACUUCCAAACUCUUUCCCCUCCUGUGCGCUGGGAACGGCAGGGGCGGAAAGGAUGCGCUGGCGCAGGCGCUAGCCCAGGAAACUGAAGCCUGUGUUUGGCGAAAGCACCGGAAGGAAGUCGGGGAGGCCCAGCAGGAAGCCAGCUGACACAGGAAGUCAUGGGAAAUGCAGUCUACAGGAGCCAGUCCUGCUUUGACACAGAGCAGGGGGAGUAGGCUCUAUAUCCAGCAGGGAACAGACUCUGCUCCAUGUUGCCUUCACCUCAGAUCCUGGCUCUCCUCAUUGUGGUCCAGAGAAUAGAGAACAACGAUGAACAUCUGUUAGCUCUUAGAGCUCUGGCUCUGAAGUGACACAUAUCACUUCCACUUGCAUUUUAUUGUCCCAAACAAAUCACAUGGUCAAGCCUGAUGUCAACAAGGCAAGGACAUAUAACCUCAUCCAAGGGAGAAGCAGUGAAUCCUCUUAAACAACAGUACAGGCUACCACAGCAAGACACUACAGAAACUGGAUUCAUUAGAAAUGAUAAAAGUUCACCUGACAAUCUCAAGGAUUCUAAUUAAAUGAAUCCCCAAGCUUGAAGUAAAAAUGAGAAAGUUUAUUUCAAAGAUGAAUCACUAGGUACUAAGCUUAUUCUUAUCAUAAAUAUAAAAGUCAGAUAAGAAGCACCCAUCUUAGAACAAACAUUAAGCUCUCUAUAUUAUGUUACUAUCACCAUGUGAUGUGUUAAGUAUUCAUGUUUUAUUGCCCGACUGAUUCUUACCCUGUGAUAAGAGCAAGUCUCAGUAUUCAAUUGAGUGCACAGGGCAUGUGCUCCUGUGGUGUACCCACUUGGAUAAUUUCCCAUGAGCAUACAUGCCCAGGUCUAGUAUUUUCAAUAAAAACCAGUACAGAACCACAGUCUUCUCUGUCAGUGUCCCAUUUACAAGGUGUUCAAGUAUAUUCAUAGACGUGCCAGGAAAACCCAUCCCAAGGACUGCUCCAAAGUCUAGCUGCACUAGUUACCAUGCUGUGGUACCCGAAUAAAGAAAUAGGGCUUGGAAAUUUGAAUACCUGAAAAGGUCAGGUGAUAACUUUAGUGAUAAAAAGGAUGACAAAGAGCCCUUGGCCUUCAAACUCAUUGUCAGCAGGCUAGGGGGAAGGGAGGAGACUGACAAAGGGAAGAAUCUGAGCUUCUAGGAAAAGCAGGUGCUACUCAGCUCCAACCAGUGGUUGCUAUGUAGAAAAAAAAAAAAAACACCUUUUUUUCCUUAAGUUGCAAAUUAAAUUUAUGUGUGAAACCUGCUGAUUUUAAAUUUUGUCACUAAUUCAAAUUUUUGAAUAACUGUGUGAGCCAAUCUAAACACUGUUGUAGGCUAAGCUUCGAGCUAUCAAUCUGCCAUCUCUGAAGUAGGUAAACCAGGAUAGAGAGAUUUGGAGGAGGGAGGAGAAAUCUGGAGAGAAGUAGAGGAGGACUCCCGAAGGAGGGAAGGUGGAAUGGAG